rnacentral:rRNA from 1 species
UGCGUAGGCGGGCUAAUAAGUCAGUGGUGAAAUCUCUCGGCUCAACCGGGAAACUGCCAUUGAUACUGUUAGUCUUGAGUUCGGUUGAGGUAGGCGGAAUGUGUAAUGUAGCGGUGAAAUGCUUAGAUAUUACACAGAACACCAAUUGCGUAGGCAGCUUACUAGACCGACAUUGACGCUGAGGCACGGAAGCGUGGGGAGCGAACAGGAUUAGAUACCCUGGUAGUCC